rnacentral:rRNA from 1 species
UACGAAGGGGGCUAGCGUUGCUCGGAAUCACUGGGCGUAAAGGGUGCGUAGGCGGGUUUUUAAGUCAGGGGUGAAAUCCUGGAGCUCAACUCCAGAACUGCCUUUGAUACUGAAGAUCUUGAGUUCGGGAGAGGUGAGUGGAACUGCGAGUGUAGAGGUGAAAUUCGUAGAUAUUCGCAAGAACACCAGUGGCGAAGGCGGCUCACUGGCCCGAUACUGACGCUGAGGCACGAAAGCGUGGGGAGCAA